rnacentral:lncRNA from 10 species
CGAAGCCUCUGUCAGCGAACGAGCGCGCGCAAUAGCGCGGGGCAGGGGUCGCCGCGGCCGGAAGCCCACGCGGGGGGUUGCAGGGACGGGUCGUAAGGGGCGGGGCGGGCCUCGAGGAGGCGGCGGUGGGGUCCCCGGACCUCCGCGCGUGGCACAGCCCGCAUCCUGAACUGACUCCCACUCGAGGACCACCUCUCCUCUCCCUUCUGAGGGCGGAACGGAAAGGCCAAGCGCCUCCUCGCCUCGGGAGCUGCAGGACGCCCUAAUUCAGCCGAGUCGCCGCGUGCCCGGGUGCCCGCGAACAGCAGGAGAGAGGACGGGCGCUGGCCCCACAGGGGUCGCUUUACCCCUUGAAGAGCUCCUCGCUGCCUGCCCUGGGGGUGGUGGGCGUCCAGGUUCACAGGGUACUUGAGCUUGCUGGGGUGGGGGUGUGUAUGAAGUGCGUCCAGGGUUUUGUGGAGCGCGUCUAGCAGUUGCUCUACUUCUUACUGACAGUGAAACAAGGGCGCCCACGACAGGUGUUCCCUUUUCGCUGUCGCUGCCAGGAAGCUUCCAGCCAGGUUCAGCGCCCAGUGGUGUCAGCCGGCCCAUCUCGAGCCUUGGUUCCGCUGUCAUCUUCUGGUGCUUAUUCUGGUGUUUAUCCAACUGUCCGUUUUGAAAUUAUGUUCCCAAGCCAUUUAACACCUCUGGAGAACCAAAGCACUGGCUGUCAGCGGAGCGGGAUGCACGCGCAGCGGAGGGGACUGGGCACGCCAACCCCACGAGGGUUCCUGCGGAGAUGACACGGACCUUGAGGUCUGAAGCCAAAGGACGAUUUGUGUGAAGGGAUUUUAUUGUUAGCUUUGGAGCCAGCAACAAGAACACAGCCCUGGAGUUCCCGGGGCAAAAAGGAUACCAAGAUAAUAAUUCAGAGUCUUCACAGCACAUUGAGGAAGAUGUUAUUACCACUUUACAAAUGAAGAAUCCAAAGCUUGAAGAGGUUAAAGGACUUCCUCAAUAAUGCAAAGAUAGUAAGGGGUAAUGCCAGGAUUCAACUCAGACACACUGACUGCUGUUGCAGACCUCCAUGUGAUAACUCAUAAUAAUAACGCCAACUAUGCUAUUAGGUAGGAUUGUUGUGAAUACUCAUUGAAAUCGUUCAUAUAAAAGCCCAUCACACCUUGCCUGGCCAGGUAGCAAGAGCUCAAGGAAUGCUGUGAUUAUGCAGUAGUUGUGCCAAGAUGCAGAUCCAGCUCUGAUUGAUGCCAAUAUCUGUGCUCUUGGCCACUGAUGCUGAACAGCCAUCAGUGUAACUUCAGUGUUUCCAUCAGAUAGUAUUGGGAACAGCUGAAAGGCAUUAAAAAAGAAAGAGGAGGACUGGAACGAAACAUUUUUUCAAGAAUUAGUUUCAGUCACACAGAUAGAAUUCAAUGAUAGGAAUUGAAUUGAAUUGAAACGUAAGGAAUGACUUCCUUUGAUUCCCUGAGGAAGAAAGUCACACAGGUGUGGCCCAUUUACUACUUCUUCAUAAAUAGAAAUCUGUCAGAUUUAUGAGACUAAGUGCCAAUGGGAGAAAACAAAGAAAAAAUAUGUUUGCAGAAUGCAUCUGGAUUUCUGCUUAUGACCAAGAUAGGGUAACAGAAACAAGGUUUACCCUCCGAUAUGGUUUGGAUCUGCAUCUCUGCCCAAAUCUCAUGUCAAAUUAUAAUCCCCAGUGUUGGGAGAGGGGCCUGAUGGGAGGUGAUUGGAUCAUGGAGGUGGCUUUCUCCCUUGCUAUUCUUGUAAUCGUGAGUUCUCAUGAGAUCUGGUUGUUAAGAAGUGUGUAGCACCUCCCCCUUCUUUCCCUUCCUCCUGCUCUGAACAUAUGAAGACAUGCCUGCUUCCCCUUCAACUUCCACCAUGACUGUAAGUUUCCUGAGGCCUCCCCAGCUAUGCUUCCUGUACAGCCUGUGGAACUGUG